rnacentral:lncRNA from 1 species
ACGCACACCCCGCCUCCCCCCGCACCCUACCCCGCACCCUCGACGGCGCCCCCUGCCUCGGCCCGCACCUGCGGCGGGGGCGCCGCCGGGGCCCGUGGGCGGCGGAGGCGGCCAGCCCGGAGGCGGCCGCGGCCCUGGGAAGGGACGGGGAGGUGGCGCCAGGCGACCGUGUGCGGAGCCGAGGAGGUGUUAUCUACCUGGAAGCUUCUGGGCGAACCGGAGGAAGCUGUGCAGGUGCAGUUACUUGGUGCUGAAGCAGUAAUACAUCACUCUAAGAAUCGCUGCCUUUGGACACUACUCUGAAGGCUGCAUUGUUAUGAUGCCCAGGACUGUAGCACUGGUGAUGGUAUACAAUGGCUAUGCUAUCACACACCAUGGAGCAAGUGACUUAGAAGGGAGGAGAAGGCUUAUCCUUCCAGGAAGUCCACCUCUGAUAU